rfam:Parcubacteria (Wolfebacteria) bacterium GW2011_GWA2_47_9b TY19_C0009, whole genome shotgun sequence.
GGGCCUUUAGCUCAUCUGGUAGAGCGCUACAUUUGCAAUGUAGAGGUGACCGGUUCGAGCCCGGUAAGGUCCA